CAACGCCUAAACUCAAAGCAUUGUCCCGUCUCUUCAUCGGCUUCCUCACCCCCAUAUUCUCCUCCAUCUGAUACACCAGCCACCGCCUUAGGAAAGUACAAAGGACAUAGCCGCCGCCAUGGGUAAGUAGGAGGUGUCAACAGCCUUGGAUAUCAAGUUUCAAAUUUGGUGAUUCUCCAAAGCUAUGAAGAUAGAGCUGGAACCCUAGAAUCAGGAGCUGGAACUCUAGAAAUCUGGAGGUGGCAAGUCUAGUACCUAUAUGGGAACUUGUUUUCAUCCGGAUACUUAACGUGAAAAUCAAUCGAGGUGACAAAUAAAUAAGUUUGAAGUUAUUUUACUGCAAGGGUGUUUUUAAUAAUGUAAUAUACAUGUGUGUUAUUGUUAAUCAUGCUUGGGUCCUAGACAAGAACUUGGAAUAUAGUUGACCUUUUGUUGUAAAUGUUGUUGUAAACCCCUCUUGUAAUAAAGGUUGUGUUUCAAUUUCGAAAACUUGUCUAGUAUCGUUCUUUUCCAAUUAUUCGUAUUUCGAUUUUGGAAAUUUAUUUCCAUGAUUGGAAUAUAAGUCGCAUCUAAAAAAAAAAAAAAAAAUUUGGAUGUGACAAUUCUAUUUCUCCAUAUUUGUUCCUUAUA